GAUGAACGCUGGCGGCGUGCCUAACACAUGCAAGUCGAACGGACUGAUAUUGGUGCUUGCACCGAUUGAAAGUUAGUGGCGGACGGGUGAGUAACACGUGGAUAACCUGCCUUAUACAAAGGAAUAACUGUGAGAAAUCGCUGCUAAAACCUUAUAAGCUUACAGUUUCGCAUGAAACAGUGAGAAAAUAUUUAUAGGUAUAAGAGGGGUCCGCGUCUGAUUAGCUAGUUGGUGAGGUAAAGGCCCACCAAGGCAACGAUCAGUAGCCGGCCUGAGAGGGUGAACGGCCACAUUGGGACUGAGACACGGCCCAAACUCCUACGGGAGGCAGCAGUGGGGAAUAUUGCGCAAUGGAGGAAACUCUGACGCAGCAACGCCGCGUGAAGGAUGAAGGCUUUCGGGUUGUAAACUUCUAUCGAUGGGGAAGAAAAAAAUGACGGUACCCAAGUAAGAAGCACCGGCUAACUACGUGCCAGCAGCCGCGGUAAUACGUAGGGUGCAAGCGUUAUCCGGAAUUACUGGGCGUAAAGGGUGAGUAGGCGGUCAAUUAAGUCAUAUGUGAAAAUCCAAUGCUCAACAUUGGACUUGCAUAAGAAACUGAUAGACUGGAGUGCAGGAGAGGUAAGUGGAAUUCCUAGUGUAGCGGUGAAAUGCGUAGAGAUUAGGAAGAACACCAGUGGCGAAGGCGACUUACUGGACUGUAACUGACGCUGAGUCACGAAAGCGUGGGGAGCGAACAGGAUUAGAUACCCUGGUAGUCCACGCUGUAAACGAUGAAUGCUAGGUGUCGGGGCGAGAGUUUCGGUGCCGGAGUUAACACAAUAAGCAUUCCGCCUGGGGAGUACGGCCGCAAGGUUGAAACUCAAAGGAAUUGACGGGGGCCCGCACAAGCGGUGGAGUAUGUGGUUUAAUUCGACGCAACGCGAAGAACCUUACCAAGGCUUGACAUGGAAAUGACCGCACUAGAAAUAGUGUUUCCCUUCGGGGCAUUUCACACAGGUGGUGCAUGGUUGUCGUCAGCUCGUGUCGUGAGAUGUUGGGUUAAGUCCCGCAACGAGCGCAACCCUUAUAUUUAGUAGCCAUCAGGUUAAGCUGGGCACUCUAGAUAGACUGCCGUGGAUAACACGGAGGAAGGUGGGGAUGACGUCAAAUCAUCAUGCCCCUUAUGUCUUGGGCUACACACGUACUACAAUGGGUGUAACAAAGUGAAGCAAGCUAGUGAUAGUAAGCAAAGCACAGAAAAGCACCCCCAGUUCGGAUUGUAGUCUGCAACUCGACUACAUGAAGUUGGAAUCGCUAGUAAUCGUGGAUCAGCAUGCCACGGUGAAUACGUUCCCGGGCCUUGUACACACCGCCCGUCACACCAUGGGAGUUGGGGAUACCCGAAGUCUGUGACCUGACCCGUAAGGGAAGGAGCAGCCGAAGGUAGAAUCAGUGACUAGGGUG
rnacentral:rRNA from 1 species